rnacentral:rRNA from 1 species
GACGAACGCUGGCGGCAUGCCUAACACAUGCAAGUCGAACGGUAAGGCCCCUUCGGGGGUACACGAGUGGCGAACGGGUGAGUAACACGUGGGUAACCUGCCCUUCACUGGGGGACAACCAGAGGAAACUCUGGCUAAUACCGCAUAACGUGCACCAUCACAAGGUGGUGUACCAAAACUCAGGUGGUGAAGGAUGGGCCCGCGGCGGAUUAGCUUGUUGGUGGGGUAAUGGUCUACCACGGCACCGAUCCGUAGCUGGUCUGAGCGGACGAUCAGCCACAAUGGAACUGAGACACGGUCCAGACUCCUACGGGAGGCAGCAGUGGGGAAUCUUGCGCAAUGGGCGAAAGCCUGACGCAGCAAUGCAGCGUGAGGGGAGACGGUCUUAGGAUUGUAAACCUCUUUCAGCAGGGACGAAAACAGACGGUACCUGCAGAAGAAGCCCCGGCUAACUACGUGCCAGCCGCCGCAGUAAAAC